AAGGCCUGAUGUGUGUGAGAUUACCCGCUGAAUUUAAGCAUAUAAGUAAGCGGAGGAAAAGAAACUAACUAGGAUUCCCUUAGUAAUGGCGAAUGAACAGGGAUCAGCUCAGUGCCAAAUCGGAAUCACUUGUGGUUCUGAAAUGUGGCUUGAAGGCAGUACCAGUGGCAUCGCGGACGAAAGUCUCUUGGAAAAGAGCGUCAUAGAGGGUGAGAAUCCCGUGAGUCGUUCGCCGUUUGUCACGUACGGUCUGCGUUCUAACGAGUCGCGUUCCUUGGGAUUGGAGCGUAAACGGGUGGUAAAUUUCAUCCAAAGCAAAAUAUAUACUCGAGACCGAUAGCACAAAAGUACCGUGAGGGAAAGGUGAAAAGAACUUUGAGAAGAGGGUUAAAUAGUGCCUGAAAUCGUUGAGAAGGAAGCGGAUGCCGCCGUUGCAUAUGCCGAUUGUAGGAUUGCUGCUCGCUCCUGUCUUCUGCUACUCAUUCACAGACCUGGUCGUGUUGAGCAGUUGUUUGGCAGAU
rnacentral:ncRNA from 1 species